rnacentral:lncRNA from 1 species
UGGAACUAACCAAAUAUAACUCAAAAACACAUUUAUAUUUAUAUUAGUCAAAUUAGUAUUUAACAAAUAAAAAUCGAGAUAUAACCUAUGUAGUUUUUAUUCAUAAAACAAAUUAAAUAACAUCUUACUAUUACUAAUUGGAGGCUCCUUUUGAAGGUCCAGGUGAAGCCACCUAAGAUUCCUAGAUGGACUUUGUAGAGAAAGAGAGAAAUCUUAGAAAUUCUCACAAAAAGCAAAAUAUCCGACCAUCGAUCGAUAGAUUCAAAUCAUUACGGCCAUUGAAUCUAUUAUAUUUUUAAAAAAAUUACCCACCUAUGCCAUUAUGAAAAUAGCCUAAAGUAACCCCCUAAAUCUAUAUAAAUUACCCACCUCUGCCAUUAUAUAAAAUUAAUUAAAGUAAUCCCCUAAUCUUCAUCAAAAUUACCCACUUAUGCCAUUAUAAAUAAUAUUUAAAAUAAUACCCUAAUUUGCAACUGAAUUGCCUACCACUAUUACUUAAAAAAUUUUAAAUAACCCAUUAAAUUUGCAUCUAUAUUACCUACACAUGCUAUUAUUAAAAAUAACAUGAGGUAACCCUACAUUUUUUUUUCCAUUGGGGACUUCAGAUUAGUUCCCACGAGACAAGCUAGAAAAAACAGAGAAAUUCUCAUAAAAAUUAAAAACAUCAAACACCAAUCAUGUAAACUCUAAUAAUUAUAGCCAUUGAUCUAUUAUAUUUUCUAAAAAGUUACCUGCUACUAUCAUUGUGAAAGUAUUAAAAAAUAAGCUCUAAAUCUAUAUCUAAAUUACCGAGUUUAGCUAUUAUAAAAUAUAAUAUAAAGUAACCUCAUAAUCUUCAUCCAAUUUACUAAUACACAUCAAUAUAAAGCAUAACUUAAAAUGUCAUUCUAAAAUUUUAUCUAUAUUACCC